rnacentral:rRNA from 1 species
GUUUAACCGAAGAAGUGCAUCGGAAACUGGGUAACUUGAGUGCAGAAGAGGACAGUGGAACUCCAUGUGUAGCGGUGGAAUGCGUAGAUAUAUGGAAGAACACCAGUGGCGAAGGCGGCUGUCUGGUCUGCAACUGACGCUGAGGCUCGAAAGCAUGGGUAGCGAACAGGAUUAGAUACCCUGGUAGUCCAUGCCGUAAACGAUGAGUGCUAGGUGUUGGAGGGUUUCCGCCCUUCAGUGCCGGAGCUAACGCAUUAAGCACUCCGCCUGGGGAGUACGACCGCAAGGUUGAAGCUCAAAGGAAUUGACGGGGGCCCGCACAAGCGGUGGAGCAUGUGGUUUAAUUCGAAGCUACGCGAAGAACCUUACCAGGUCUUGACAUCUUGCGCUAACCUAAGAGAUUAGGCGUCCCCUUCGGGGACGCAAUGACAGGUGGUGCAUGGUCGUCGUCAGCUCGUGUCGUGAGAUGUUGGGUUAAGUCCCGCAACGAGCGCAACCCUUGUUACUAGUUGCCAGCAUUCAGUUGGGCACUCUAGUGAGACUGCCGGUGACAAACCGGAGGAAGGUGGGGACGACGUCAGAUCAUCAUGCCCCUUAUGACCUGGGCUACACACGUGCUACAAUGGUCGGUACAACG